GGUGGUCCAGGGGACAAUAUCUUCUAACACAUUAUCUUGUUUGACUUUAUAUUCAACAGUGACAUUUGCAGGUACAUGUGCAAGGAAUAUAUGAAAAAGAAUGUUAUACUGGAGGACUUUCUCUUUGGAAUUGCUGUGCAAAUAAGGUCACUGGGUAAUAGGAUGUAAAGAGGAGUUCUCAAAACAACCUCACAGACCCAGAAUAAUCAAAACAAUUGAAGACUUAACUUCAAUUUCAAAACUUACCACAGAGCAAGAGUAAUCAAGACAGUAUGGUACUUCCCUAAGGACAAACAUAUAUGAAUGAAAGAGAAACCAGAUUUUGGAAAUUUUAAAGAGUGUCAAGACCAUUCAGCAAGGAAUGAAUAGUCUUUUCAACAAAUUGUGAGACAAUAGAUAUUCACAUGCAAAAAAUGUACCUGGACUCCUACCUCACGCCAUAUAAAAAUAUUAACUCAAAAUGGAUUAUAGGGAGGAAGUGGAGGAAGAUGACCAGAAAAAACCUUCCAGUGAUUAUCCCUAACUUGCCCUGCAGGAAGACCAAAUUGAACAACUAUCCACAAAGGAAAGCACCAUCAUAUGAGGCAAAAAUCAGAUAUGUCCUGAGAGUUUCUGAAGUUAUUUAACUGGUUCAAUGAGAAUUUAAUCAAGGUCUGCUUUAUAUCAAAAUUUAUGAUUUUUAUUCAAUGCCAUACAUAGAAUUUGUUCACAGUUAUCAUCAAACACACUCAUCCUUUUUGUGCCAAGAUGGAGAACCUGGCUGAGAAGAUAUGUACCUAUAAAAAGGUCCACUUAGAGGCAACUCUUUACAUUGACUACAAAGAUAAAGAACAAUGAGCAAUUAAAGAACAUUGGUUUUGGGGAAAACA
ensembl:lncRNA POT1-AS1 POT1 antisense RNA 1